rnacentral:tRNA from 1 species
CAGGGAGACAACAAAAUGUUUAAUAUUAUUAUUUUGUCACCUUAGGUCGAUCAGUAUCUCGCGUUCUUAAUUCGUUAAGAAUUUCAUUUCCUAAGUUUUUCUAGGUCACACCCAUUAUUUUUCCUGGGCCAUUAGCUCAGGUGGUUAGAGCGCACCCCUGAUAAGGGUGAGGUCCCUGGUUCAAGUCCAGGAUGGCCCAUAUCUCUAUGUUGGGGGUAUAGCUCAGUUGGUAGAGCGCCUGCUUUGCAAGCAGGAUGUCAGCGGUUCGAGUCCGCUUACCUCCACUGAUUACCACCUCUUCCAUAUCCGGUAGAAAGGAAAUGUUUUGAGUUGUGAUCAAAUUCUGAACGAAUCUAGCUUCCUAAUGAAAUCAUUAAGAUGCUGGACUCAUUGAAUUAAUUUCAUUGUUUUCAGAGAACCUUGACAACUGCAUAGAUUAUUUUUAAAGACAAUAAGCAUCUUUAAUGAUGCAGAUUUAUUAUUUGUGCGAAUGCAUUAAUAACAAUUCUAUUAAGCUGAUGCUUCAAUUUUUGAAGUUAUU